rnacentral:rRNA from 1 species
UACGUAGGGAGCAAGCGUUGUCCGGAAUCAUUGGGCGUAAAGCGCGCGUAGGUGGCCCCAUAAGUCCGCUGUGAAAGUCAAAGGCUCAACCUUUGAAAGCCGGUGGAUACUGUGGGACUAGAGUACGGAAGAGGCGAGUGGAAUUCCCGGUGUAGCGGUGAAAUGCGCAGAUAUCGGGAGGAACACCAAUGGCGAAGGCAGCUCGCUGGGACGGUACUGACGCUGAGACGCGAAAGCGUGGGGAGCAAACAGG